CCCUUAGAUGUUCUGGGCUGCACGCGCGCUACACUGAUGCGAUCAACAAGUUUUUCCUAUGUCGAUAGACACGGGUAAUCUUUUGAACUCGCAUCGUGAUGGGGAUAGAUUAUUGUAAUUAUUAAUCUUCAACGAGGAAUUCCUAGUAGGUGCAAAUCAUCAGUUUGCAUCGAUUACGUCCCUGCCCUUUGUACACACCGCCCGUCGCUGCUACCGAUUGGUUGAUCUGGUGAAUUAUUCGGACUGCCGGCUGAAGGGGUUUCCUCAUCUGCCAGCGGAAAGUCUUGUUAACCCUAUCAACCAGAGGAAGCAGAAGUCGUAACA
rnacentral:rRNA from 1 species